UGUGGCUUAAUUUGACUCAACGCGGGAAAUCUUACCAGGUCCGGACACACUGAGGAUUGACAGGAAGUAUCGUCUUUUGAAUUCUUUAAGGAUAUGUCGUUUUUAAUGACAUCUUUUAGAUGGAUGAUUCGUGUAAAUAUGCUAGUUCUUUCAUGAUUAUGUGAUAGGUGGUGCAUGGCCGUUCUUAGUUCGUGGAGUGAUCUGUCUGCUUAAUUGCGUUUCACUAAGGCCCCAAAGUUAGCAAAUUAUCAAUCGUUACAGAGUCGACCCCUCACCUUUGAGUGCGCGUCCUAACUUGUAGUACAUGGUGUAAAUGGAUUUGUUUUGGGUACCCAGAAAGCAACGAACGUGACCGCAACGUCUUGUUGUCUCUCUUUGACAGUUAUGGGUUAUCCCAGUCAUGUGUUUAUACUUUUAUGUGUAAAUACGUACGACACAGAGACUAGAUACCAAACUAGGCGUACCGCUGUAUCAUUUCUUUAAACCAGAGGAAGGUUGCGGCAAUAACAG
rnacentral:rRNA from 1 species